UUUUUAAUUGAAGAUCAAAACAAUCCAAAUUACGGGGACCUUCCUCACCUGAGAAGUACAGAGUUUGGUAAGUAGAUCUUUCUGAAAAUUCUCUUAGUAACACCCCCAGCUUCAGCCUGGCGACGCAGCACUGAUAUGUUCCUCUUUUCUCCUAGGAAUGAGAAUUCAAGUAUGAGCAAGAAGCAUCCAGAGGAGCCUGUGGAAGUAGCUACCUGGAGCAGCUCUCUCUGUUUUCCACCUGCAGCCUCAUGUGCCUUGUCUCCRAAUAGCUGGGCUUUCUCCUGGCACUGAGUACUCUGCAUGUUGUUAAACAUUUUCCCAUCUGGUUUUGGCUCCACAAUGGAUUUCUCCCCACCCCUGAAAGUGAUGAAUAGUAUUGAAGAAAAAUGACCCAGCUGAAGCAGAGUACARUAUGAAGAGUCUUCCACAUGUGCCCCUGGUUGACAAAAGCCAUCUCCCCAGCUGUCCCAGUGUACAAUGGACUCGUUUUCUUGUUUGUGCUGGCAAACUUCAGCAUGGCAACUUUCAUGGACCCUGGAGUUUUCCCACGAGCAGACGAAGAUGAAGACAAAGACGACGACUUCCGAGCGCCGCUGUACAAGAACGUGGAGAUCAAAGGAAUCCAAGUACGGAUGAAGUGGUGCGCCACCUGCCACUUCUACCGCCCRCCCCGCUGCUCCCACUGCAGCGUCUGUGACAACUGUGUGGAGGAUUUUGACCAUCACUGCCCAUGGGUCAACAAUUGCAUAGGACGGAGGAACUACCGCUAUUUUUUUCUCUUCUUGCUGUCCUUAAGUACGCACAUGAUUGGAGUGUUCGCCUUUGGGCUCAUCUUCGUACUAAACCAUAUGGAAAGGCUGGGAGCAGCUCACACUACCAUUACAAUGGCUGUCAUGUGUGUGGCUGGGUUAUUCUUUAUUCCAGUCAUUGGUCUCACUGGCUUCCAUAUUGUUUUAGUGGCCCGAGGGCGCACAACGAAUGAACAGGUGACAGGGAAAUUCCGUGGGGGAGUGAAUCCUUUUACCCGAGGAUGCUGUGGAAACGUGGAACAUGUGCUCUGCAGCCCCUUGGCUCCCAGGUACGUGGUGGAGCCCAAGAAGAAGCAAGCUGUGAGUGUGAAGCCUCCUUUCCUGAGACCUGAUUUGUCUGAGCGCCAGAUCACAGUGAAGAUCAGUGACAACGGCAUCCAAGCCAACCUCAACCGGAGCAAGUCUAAAAUUAGCCUGGAAGGUCUGGAGGAGAAAAGCAUGGAUGUGCAACCAUCCCUCCCACCCAAAGGAGAUCCAAGCAAGUACUCUGAGCUAAAAGGGCAGCUGGGCACCAGUGAAGAAGGUGGCCUCUCACCCAAACUUAUCAGCCCUCCUACUCCUGCCAUGUACAAGUACCGGCCAGCUUUCAGCAACAAUCCCAAAGUCCACUACCACGCCACGGCCGAGCAGAUCACCUUGCAGGAGGGACACAGCCAAGGGGCUUUGAUAGAAGAGGAUGGCAGGAGCCUUGAUUACCAAUCCGAACCCAGCCUGGACAUCCCCAGCUACCGGAAGAGCUCCCUCCACAAGACCUAUCAGUCUUCCCCACUCCAGAUAGAUUCCUUUGCCAUCAAUUCACGAUCCCUGAGCCUGAAAUCUGCUGGCAGGAGAGGGACUGACAAAGUGCCCCUUCAUCCAAUAAARUCUGAAGGGGCGGCUUCCACCCCUUACAAAAGCAUCUUUUCUCCCAAUUCCCUGUCAAACAGAAAUGGGAGUCUUUCGUAUGACAGUUUGCUGAACCCCAUGUCUCCCUCGGGGAGGAAGUGCAUUGCCCAUUCUGCWGUCAGCUCUGUCGGGUACCACUCCCCAUAUUUGUCAGCCAAAAUGUGCCACCUCCGGGGCAGCGAGCUGCAGCGCCAGCCCCCGCAGAGCUUCAGCCCCGUGCUGGGGGGCCCGGCCCCGCACCAGCGAGACCCCUCCCCGGUCCGCUAUGAUAACCUUUCCAAGACAAUUAUGGCAUCCAUCCAGGAAAGGAAAGAGAUGGAAGAGAGGGAGAAGCUCCUGCACUCGCACCCUGAUUCGGUGUUUGCAGACUCGGGUGUCUAUGACACCCCCAGCUCCUACAGCCUUCAGCAAGUGAGCACGCUCUCGGAUGACCCGCGCAGCAUGGCCAUGAGAUAYGGAUCCAGGGACAAUCUGAUGGCUGCCAGCAGCUUUAGCACAAGGAACCCUCUACUGCAGUCCUCAGUGUCUUCACUCUCAAGUGCAAUGACGAGAGCACCAAGGACUUCCACAACAUCCCUGCAAGCUGAUUUAGCCAAUAAUAAUGUGCAGUCGCAUCAAGCACUACAGGGCAGGGUGAGCAAUGGCUCCUACAAAUCCCCAGGUCACCAGGUCCCAUCGUCCCCCACAGGGAUGCCUAGGUCACCUUCUUACGGAGGCCCRAAGGCUGUGUCCUUUGUAAACACUGUGGAAAUUACAGAGGUGCAAUCAGUGGGAGCACAGAGGGAUGACAUGCAGUUGAAGACACCWCACAGUAAAAUAAAUGGACAGCCAAAAGGAAUAGCCAGGUUGGGCUCAACAUCAAGUUCCCAGGGGACGCCUGUCAGCCCUGCUAGACACUCAAAUGUUAAGAAGGUGUCUGGAGUUGGUGGAACAACCUAUGAAAUUUCAGUGUAAAAUCRAAUGAAUUAAAAACAAAGAGCCAUCCACUCAGCCAGCCAUGAAGCUAGGAGCACUGUGAAGACUCAAAUAACAACAAAGAAGGAGCAGCAGCAGUCGGCCACUCUCCUUUUCUUGUUUUGGGUUUGUUAUGUUUUCAUCUUUCUCUUUUGGCCAAAAACCAGCUGCAGCCUUAUUCUUGAGGGAAUAAUAAAAUUGUACAGUCUAUCAGACUCUUCCUGAACCGACAGGCGGGAACUGGCUACGACCUAAGACCACCACAGAGCGGAUUUCCUUCCUGCAAGAGAGCGCUAAAGCCAUUGUGCGCGUGUCUGUCCAACCAAUCUGUCAUGUACCACUUGUGCUGUGAAAAGUACAGUCAGUCCAGGAUCAGUCAGUUUUUCCCAUGCCCCCUCCCAGUUCUGGCCAGCAGUGUGUGCAGCAGGAGCCAGAGGACCAACUGCUGUUUUCCUGCUGACUUGGAAAGCAGGGUUCCUGCGCUGGGCAGGAGCUGCUCCAUGUCCCCCGGGCACUGCAGCUCAGGUUCCUCCUCCUGGGGUGGAACACAGCAAGGCCACUCGGGCUGCAGACACCACAACAGCUUUAAAAGCCUCCCUGAUCCUGGAUGGGACAGGAGAAAGGAGAGCAACAGCUUCUGCCUGUCUGCCAUUGGCCUCCCCCGUGUGUGAAGUUGUGUGUGUGUGUGUUUGUCUCCACGGAAAAGGACCGCAACACCAGGGAGGAUCUGCCACUCUGACCUCCUGCUCCCUCGGGGUGUUAAAGGCUUCUCUGACUCGGAAACAAAACCAAGCAGAUCAGAAAGGAAAUGUUCUGAUGGAAAUAUAUUUUAAACAGCCGUCAGCUGCUUUCCCUGCACCCUCCUUACCUGUUGGAUUUCGGCAAUAACAGAGUUUACUGCCUUGCCCUGGUGCCGUCAGUGUAAUCCCGCAGCAAGGUUAUCACGAGCUGUCCAAUUUACAGUGUGUGUAACUGAGCCAAGCGUACAUCUAAAGGAUAUAAAUUUUCUGUCUGCCUAAUUACUAGCACAUUCCCUCUGGUCUUCARUACUGUUAGACAAAGGAUUUUCAAUUUGGGUUUUUGCCCCCUGGGGAACAACUUUUUAAAAUAAUAUCAAUCAGAUCUAUUUAACAUUCUGAGGUUUCUUUCUCCUGUCUCCAGAAAACUACAUUUACUUUUUGGAUUUAAAGACAACUUUACUGUAUAAACCAAGAAAGGGGUGCAUUACUCUUGUCAAAAAUAUGAGGACUCUGGCAAAACUAAUUUGGGACAAAUGGAUUUUUAUUUCUCUGUUCCUUAUCUCCUUUUCCUUCCCAUUCAGUUACCACCUCAGAAGUCAGAAGUACUGAGAUCUGGACCAAUGCUAACUAGCCAGAUCAUUAAGAUUGAAUUGUGCAAUUAAGAAUAUCCUGAGCAACUGUUGCCAAAGUCACUAAAAAUUAUUAUUUAUCACUGAGCCAGUCAGCAUACAAGACCUCGACUUCCCACCUGGUUCUCUUGAUGAAUAGUUUUGACUAGAGAUCUAAAUCGAUCAUUUUUCAGGAUAUUUGUUUCAAGGGGUUAAAUCCUUUUCAGUCCUUGACUAUAAUGGAAAGCUCUCCAGGUUUGCAUUUAAUUCAGUGCACAUAGCCUGGAGUAAAUGAUUCAAAUUUUCUGAAAGAGUAAUCUAAGCAGAACUGUUAACAGGAGAUUGCAUGCAGCAAAUCCAGCCUCAUUUCCAUCCAAGGCACUGAACCUGCAGCUAUUUUCUCAUAAAUGUAAGUGUCUGUUUCCAUAGUUCCUGUUGUGGGACUGGGGACCUAUUUAUUAAAUCUAAUUUUUGAGCAGAAUCCAGCCCAUGUUACAGUAUAGUUCUUUAAGCAGUUUACAGAUCAGCAGUAAGGUUCUUCUGCCCAGAUACCCUGUUUUUACAGACACUGCAGGCCAGAUCUUCAGCURGUAUAAUUUGGUGUGGCUCCAUGAAAGCUCAUUUAAUUGAUGCUAAUUUAUAGUAGGUGGGGAUCAACCAUGAAAAUCCAGCACGAGUUAACACAUCCUGUAAAGUAGCUUCUUUAUUUUUGUCAUGCUUAUUUCAUGUUUCAGAAGUCUUAAAUAUUUUCAACAUGUUUUUAUUUGUAGCUGUGGAUUGUAUUACUUAUUUAAAAAAGAGCAAUAGGUUUUUUUUAGUUUGUGCAUCAGUUUUCAUUGCAUAUUGCAUUUUAUUAGUCAUUUGUUCCCUGUUCAUACGCUCCCAUUUAGCCUCCAGGUUUUCAUUGUAGUAUUUUUCUGCCUUGAAAAGUUGGAUCUCUGUAUCUUUAAUUGUAUAAUAUAUUGAAUAUUAUGGAAUUAAAUGUACUUUACUACAUGGGUGGGAGAGAAAGGAAAUAUUUUUACUUGAAGCCUUAAUAUUUUCUUUUUUUACUACUUUGUUUGUUGACCUCAUAGGAAAGUCUGAAUAGCAAAGACUUUGAAACUCUGGGCCAAAUACUGCACUGACAGACAACCAGCAUUUGGCCCCCAUGUCAAAACUGGAUGCAGACAUAACCUGAAGUGAAGAAGGGAAARAGCCUCAGGGUGGCAUAUUUUCCUGAAGAUCAUUAAUACAGUCUCAAAGCAUGUCUGUAAGCAAGUACAUUUAAGAARUCUUCAAGUCUUGAAUUUUUAAGGAAGGUGAUAGCAAGAACUUCCCUAAUAUCUUACAUCUGCUUUUUUUUUUUUAAUCUCCUUUUUUUUUUUUUUUAAAUUAAGCAAAACAAAUGUAUUUACUCAGUUUGGUUCAGCCAGCUCGGGGGGUUGCACUGAGCUCUGUGUUGGUAGCCAUGUGCAGCACAUGAGCUGUGGGGUGUUGCUGUUCUCAUUCUAACCAAGCGUGAUGUUGUGUCAACUCAGCCCGAGAGGAUCCCUCCCGGGCCCUACAAUGGACGUUCCUCAGAUGAUGCCUACUCUCCUACAAGCCUAAUAUGGAAAUUGCAAUGUGGUUUUCUUUGGACUCUAUCUGUGGUCCAGACUAGAGAUAUAUAGAGAGAUAUAUAUAUAGUCAAUAUUUUUUUGUGUGUGUGGGAAAGAUGGGGUCAAGCUUUUCUGUCUCUGACAGUCUGGAAAGUUAAUGUCGAACCGUUUUUAUGGUCUGUAUUUCACCUGUUCUGCCACCUUGAAUUGUUGGAAUGUAUCCGUGCAGGCUUUGUGGAGCUCUGUCUGUAACCUUUUUUGUGGCUCUCGUAAUACAUAUAUAUUUUUUAAACCUUUGAGUCACUUCAGUAUUUUCAAGUGUCUGUUUCUGCCUCAGAUGCAUUCAUUUGCUGCGAUGGUUCGGGGUGCGCUGCCCUUUCUCACUUCCGCUUGUGCAAAGAAACCUGACCUGGAAGAGCAGAAUGGAAAGGCCACUUCCAGUGCAAAGGACAAAAGUGACAAAAUAUUAGAAGAAGUGACAGCAGGUUAAAUCUUAUUUUCAAGAUGCUUAUGGUAGAGUAGGAAAUAUGGUGAGUCUUUAAAAGAGUGUCUCCUAGUUGUGACCAAU